GACGAACCGAGCGACCGUUAUUCGGAAUCACUGGGCUUAAAGGGCGCGUAGGCGGGCCGUCAAGUCAGGGGUGAAAGCCCCCAGCUCAACUGGGGAAGUGCCUCUGAUACUGGCGGCCUCGAGGGAGGUAGGGGCGUGCGGAACUUCCGGUGGAGCGGUGAAAUGCGUAGAUAUCGGAAGGAACACCGGUGGCGAAAGCGGCGCGCUGGACCUCUUCUGACGCUGAGGCGCGAAAGCCAGGGGAGCGAACGGG
rnacentral:rRNA from 1 species